AUUGAACGCUGGCGGCAGGCUUAACACAUGCAAGUCGAGCGGAGAUGAGGUGCUUGCACCUUAUCUUAGCGGCGGACGGGUGAGUAAUGCUUAGGAAUCUGCCUAUUAGUGGGGGACAACAUUCCGAAAGGAAUGCUAAUACCGCAUACGUCCUACGGGAGAAAGCAGGGGAUCUUCGGACCUUGCGCUAAUAGAUGAGCCUAAGUCGGAUUAGCUAGUUGGUGGGGUAAAGGCCUACCAAGGGGACGAGCUGUAGCGGGUCUGAGAGGAUGAUCCGCCACACUGGGACUGAGACACGGCCCAGACUCCUCCGGGAGGCAGCAGUGGGGAAUAUUGGACAAUGGGGGGAACCCUGAUCCAGCCAUGCCGCGUGUGUGAAGAAGGCCUUAUGGUUGUAAAGCACUUUAAGCGAGGAGGAGGCUACUGAGACUAAUACUCUUGGAUAGUGGACGUUACUCGCAGAAUAAGCACCGGCUAACUCUGUGCCAGCCGCCGCGGUAACAC
rnacentral:rRNA from 1 species